rnacentral:pre_miRNA from 1 species
UUUUAAGGAUGAGUAAAGAAAGUAGUUUCUUGAGAUAAAGUCUACUCUUGAGGAAGAUGCUGUGAA